rnacentral:ncRNA from 12 species
CUCUAAUAUUAUUCUCGAUUAUAUAUUUUACGGAAUAUAUACAAUGAAGUAUUAGAUAUUAAAGAGAUUUAUUCCUUCCUAUAUAUAGGUAAAUAUGUAUCAGCAAAAUAUUUUAUGGUAGGAAUAACGAAGUUCAGUAUUUUGC